UCCACCAUAAAUGCACAUUGAACGAACCAAUAUAAAAACCGCUUUCAAAAUGCAAUUGGAGACUUAUAUUUACAAUUGAAAUGACAUUGGAGAAGUAAAGAACAACAAAAAAAAAGAUAAUGGAAACAAUAACAAUGAGGGCAAGAGAUAAGAUAAAUUGCAGAAAGGAAAAACAGACAAAUCAACAAAAAAACGACAAAAAAUUGGUCAAGUGUGAAAUAGCAGGACUUUAUGUCCUUUGCGCAAGUAAAAUGCUUUGUUGGAUAUGCCAUGUAAAUAAUUUAUGUAGCAGGAAAACAUAAAAAUCAUUAACCGCGGGUCAUUCAAGAGCAGCCGCACAUACGCACACUCUCUCGUAACAAAAAACAAAAGAAACCAUAAACUAUUUAGCAAAAAGUACUAGGAUGACAGGUGUUCGACGACAAAGGUAAUUUCAUGUCAUGGAAUGUACUAUAUGAAGAGAAGCGAGAUCCCAGCAGUGUAACAGCCGUUGAUUGUUAGAAUGGAAACGGUUUCUAUUACUCAACCGUAAGUGACCACUGUUGUUCUACAAUCUUCGACAAAAGGAUGAAAUAAACCUGUUUUAUUUGCAUUUUCAAACAUAUUGACCCUAACGACCCGCAAGAAUCACGAAUUUCCGGACCGUCUAUGGCAACCGAUUGUACGUGCCGGAUUGAUCUUCAUCGGCAAAGCCUGCCGUCUCAGUGUACAACAACCUGCUACAACAACAAUCUGAAUGCAGAGACACCAGAAUAAGGCACCUCACCCACCAUCACACAAAAUUCCGCUUAAUGGGUAAAUAAAACACCAGGCCAAUCUUCGCAUCUUUACACUUACAUCGUAAUAUUUGGCAUAAUACCCUGUAACGCAGUCAGUAUGACAAUGACCAUUAUAGAUACAAAGCCAAAGCACGUUCGAAUAUGCAAAAAUAAAGCUCACCGAGAACGACCUGCCAGCAAACAGUCCAGAAUCAGAUUUUUUUAAUCCCGCCACACACUACGUAUGUUCUCUUUCAAGACAAGACACAUUCUUUGAGGCUGCAGCCCUAUGCCUAAGGA